rnacentral:rRNA from 1 species
UACGAAGGUGGCAAGCGUUACUCGGAAUUACUAGGCGUAAAGGGCAGGUAGGUGGUUUGGUAAGUCUGUUGUGAAAGCUCCUGGCUUAACCGGGAGAGGCCAACGGAAACUACCAGGCUUGAGUGUGGGAGAGGAUACUGGAAUUCCCGGUGUAGCGGUGAAAUGCGCAGAGUUCGGGAGGAACACCAAUGGCGAAAGCAGGUAUCUGGACCACUACUGACACUAAGCUGCGAAAGCUAGGGGAGCAAACAGG